UUAAAAUAAAUUUUAAUGACAUUGUGUUCAAUUUUUAAAAAUAAUUCUAUUUUUAUAUUUAUGAUAAAAGAUUAAAGAAAAACAAAUGAAAAAAUAUUUCAGUUUCUUGAAUUUCAUCCAAUGUUCAACAAGUUAGAUUACAGAUGGAAUCGAACAUAAUAUGCAUAUACAAUAUAUUUUCAUUUAUCACUAUCUCAUAUGUCUGAUAAAAUUUCCAUAUUAUGAAACAAUAUUUGUUAAUGAUUUUCUCCAAUCUUAUAACUAUGAGAUAAAAAUUAGGAACAUUAUUUACGUGAAGACAAGAUAUCGCGUAUUAGUUUGGUAGUAUGCGAUCUAUAUUUUUGCUCAUUAUCAAUGCAUCAGCUAUACAAAAAACAAAUAUAUGAGAAAUGAUAGCAUUCAAUUGCAAUAAUAAAUCGAAUCGUAUAAAACUAUUUUUUUAAUUAUUCACAAAAUGUCAUCACUUAAAAAAUUGUGUAACUGCAAAAAAUAUAUUUUUACAGAGAGGCAAAAUGUGAUCAAAUUGACGACAUUGCGGUAAAAUAAUUGACUUUAUGCUUCAACUCAUAACGUGCAACCAUGUAGCAAAUUAUUAUUACAUGGUGUAACAUACGUUCCUGAGCAACGGUAAGAAAGUAAUUUACGUUGCGCGUGAACGUUGGCCACGUGCCAACUCAAUUACAGACUCUCAAAAGAAAAACUUCAACCAUCCCACUUCAACACUUCUUUUAUUCAAUUUACAUUAAUAAGGAUUUUCGAAAUAUUUUCACUAGAAAAGCGAAGAAACGUAUUUCACAUAGUGAAAGCUUUAUUAAGUUAAUGGAUGGCGCUAAUAAA